GAUGAACGCUGGCGGCGUGCCUAAUACAUGCCAGUCGAGCGAACAGACGAGAGUUCUUGCGCUCUCUGACGUUAGCGGCGGACGGGUGAGUCACACGUGGGUAACCUACCUAUAAGACUGGGAUAACUUCGGGAAACCGGAGCUCAUACCGGAUAAUAUUUAGCUUCGCAUGAAGCAAUAGUGAAAGACGGUUCUGCUGUCACUUAUAGAUGGACCCGCGGUGUAUUAGCUAGUUGGUGAGGUAACGGCUCACCAAGGCAACGAUACAUAGCCGACCUGAGAGGGUGAUAGGCCACCCGGGGACUGGGACACGGCCCAGACUCCUACGGGAGGCAGCAGUAGGGAAUCUUCCGCAAUGGACGAAAGUCUGACGGAGCAAUGCCGCGUGAGUGAAGAAGGUGUUCGGAUCGUAAAACUCUGUUGUGAGGGAAGAACAAGUACGUUAGUAACUGAACGUAGCUUGACGGUACCGGAUCAGAAAGCCACGGCUAACUACGUG
rnacentral:rRNA from 1 species